rnacentral:rRNA from 1 species
CCCUUAGAUGUUCUGGGCUGCACCCGUGCUACACUGGCAGGUUCAGCGAGCUUCAUGCCCUGAUCUGAAAGGCAUGGGAAAUCUUUUCAAAACCUGCCGUGCUUGGGAUAGAUGUUUGCAAUUAUUCAUCUUCAACGAGGAUUGCCUUGUAAGCGCACGUCAUCAGCGUGCAUUGAAUACGACCCUGUAUUCUGUACACACCGCCCGUCGCUCCUACCGAUUGAAGUUUUCGGUGAGUUGACAGGAGGAUUUUUUUGAAACUGGUUCGCCAGUGGAUUUUAGAUCCAAAUGCCAACGAAUCGAUGGCUUUAGAGGAAGGAGAAGUCGUAACA